UGUGAAUUGCAGAAUCCCGCGAACCAUCGAGUCUUUGAACGCAAGUUGCGCCCGAGGCCACUCGGCCGAGGGCACGCCUGCCUGGGCGUCACGC
rnacentral:rRNA from 1 species